rnacentral:sRNA from 1 species
GGACAUGUACUUUUAGGUUAUUAAAGU